rnacentral:rRNA from 1 species
UACGAGGGGGUGCAAGCGUUGCUCGGAAUUAUUGGGCGUAAAGGGCAGGUAGGUGGUCUCAUUUGUCAGGGGUGAAAGCCUUGGGCUUAACCCAAGAAGUGCCUUUGAAACGGUGAGACUGGAGUCUUGGAGAGGGUCGUGGAAUUCCCAGUGUAGCGGUGAAAUGCGUAGAAGAUUGGGAGGAACACCAGCGGCGAAGGCGGCGACCUGGACAAGCACUGACACUCAACUGCGAAAGCGUGGGUAGCAAACAGG